UCUGGGAUUAGAUACCCUGUUAUUUAAAAUGUAAUUUAAAAAAUUAAGGUAGUAAUAGUUAUGUUCUUUAAACUUAAAAAAUUUGGCGGUAUUUUAGUCUAUUCAGAGGAACCUGUUUUAUAAUCGAUAAUCCACGAUGGACCUUACUUAAGUUUGUUAUCAGUUUAUAUACCGUUGUUAUUAGAAUAUUUUAUAAGAAUGUUAAUUUUCAUAAUUUUUAUAAGAAAAUAUAUCAAAUCAAGGUGUAGCUUAUAUUUAAGUAAAAAUGGGUUACAAUAAAUUUAUUUAAGCGGAUAUAAAUUUGAAAAUUUUAUUUAAGAUGGAUUUGAUAGUAAAAUUAUAUAGAUUAAUAAUUUGAUUUUAGCUCUAAAAUAUGUACAAAUCGCCCGUCACUCUCUGA
rnacentral:rRNA from 1 species